rnacentral:rRNA from 1 species
UACGUAGGGUGCGAGCGUUGCCCGGAUUUACUGGGCGUAAAGAGCGCGUAGGCGGCUCGAUAAGUGUGAAGUGAAAUCUCUAGGGCUCAACCCAGAAACUGCUUUACAUACUGUCGAGCUGGAGUGAUGAAGAGGUUUGUGGAAUUCCUGGUGUAGCGGUGAAAUGCGUUGAUAUCAGGAGGAACACCCAUGGCGAAGGCAGCAAACUGGUCAGCAACUGACGCUGAGGCGCGAAAGCGUGGGGAGCAAACAGG